GCAGUGUGUGUUUGCGCGUAAGGAAUGCAUUGUAUGUUUCUGUGUGUGUAAGGGGUGCAAGGUGUGUUUCUGUGUAUGUAAUUGAAUGCAGUGUGUGUCUGUAAGGGGUGCAUUGAUUGUGUAAGAGAUGCAUUUUGUUUCUGUGUGUAAGAGAAUGAGUGUUUGGGUGAACGUAAGGGAUGCAUUGUGUGUUUCGGGUGUGUCUGUGUGUGAGUAGGAAUGCAUUGUAUGUUUCUGUGUGUGUGUGUGUGUGUGUGUAGGGGGGGGAAUGCAUUGUGUUUGUGUGUAGUGUAAAAGAGAGGGUUUGUGGGGUAGGAUAGGGACUGAGAGGGGAACAGCUCUUUAUUUUAUUUAAAAAAUUU